AGAGUUUGAUCCUGGCUCAGGAUGAACGCUGGCGGCGUGCCUAAUACAUGCAAGUCGAACGCACAGCGAAAGGUGCUUGCACCUUUCAAGUGAGUGGCGAACGGGUGAGUAACACGUGGACAACCUGCCUCAAGGCUGGGGAUAACAUUUGGAAACAGAUGCUAAUACCGAAUAAAACUCAGUGUCGCAUGACACAAAGUUAAAAGGCGCUUUGGCGUCACCUAGAGAUGGAUCCGCGGUGCAUUAGUUAGUUGGUGGGGUAAAGGCCUACCAAGACAAUGAUGCAUAGCCGAGUUGAGAGACUGAUCGGCCACAUUGGGACUGAGACACGGCCCAAACUCCUACGGGAGGCUGCAGUAGGGAAUCUUCCACAAUGGGCGAAAGCCUGAUGGAGCAACGCCGCGUGUGUGAUGAAGGCUUUCGGGUCGUAAAGCACUGUUGUAUGGGAAGAACAGCUAGAAUAGGGAAUGAUUUUAGUUUGACGGUACCAUACCAGAAAGGGACGGCUAAAUACGUGCCAGCAGCCGCGGUAAUACGUGUGUCCCGAGCGUUAUCCGGAUUUAUUGGGCGCAAAGCGAGCGCAGACGGUUGAUUAAGUCUGAUGUGAAAGCCCGGAG
rnacentral:rRNA from 1 species